GUUACAGGGCUCUCCGGGAACAGCUGGACCUCAAGGGCCCCCUGGAGCUGAUGGAGCAAAGGGUAUUAAAGGUGAUCAAGGACCCCCUGGGGGCGCUGGAGACAAAGGAGACAAGGGUCACCCGGGACCUCCAGGUCACCCAGGUGCUGCUGGAAUAAUGGGAACAGCUGGUAACGAUGGUCAGCCGGGUCCUCUCGGCCCCCCGGGGUCCACUGGAGAAAAGG